UACGGGGGGGGCAAGCGUUGUUCGGAAUUACUGGGCGUAAAGGGCUCGUAGGUGGCGAACUAAGUCAGACGUGAAAUCCCUCGGCUUAACCGGGGAACUGCGUCUGAUACUGGAUGGCUUGAGUUUGGGAGAGGGACGCGGAAUUCCAGGUGUAGCGGUGAAAUGCGUAGAUAUCUGGAGGAACACCGGUGGCGAAGGCGGCGUCCUGGACCAACACUGACACUGAUGAGCGAAAGCCAGGGGAGCAAACGGG
rnacentral:rRNA from 1 species